rnacentral:rRNA from 1 species
AACGAACGCUGGCGGCAGGCUUAACACAUGCAAGUCGAGCGCCCCGCAAGGGGAGCGGCAGACGGGUGAGUAACGCGUGGGAAUCUACCCAUCUCUACGGAAUAACGCAUGGAAACGUGUGCUAAUACCGUAUACGUCCUUCGGGAGACAGAUUUAUCGGAGAUGGAUGAGCCCGCGUUGGAUUAGCUAGUUGGUGGGGUAAAGGCCUACCAAGGCGACGAUCCAUAGCUGGUCUGAGAGGAUGAUCAGCCACACUGUGACUAGGACACGGCCCAGACUCAUACGGGAGGGAGCAGAGGGGAAUAUUGGACAAUGGGCGCAAGCCUGAUCCAGCCAUGCCGCGUGAGUGAUGAAGGCCCUAGGGUUGUAAAGCUCUUUCACCGGUGAAGAUAAUGACGGUAACCGGAGAAGAAGCCCCGGCUAACUUCGUGCCAGCCGCCGCGGUAACAC